AUUGGCGGCAGCCAUAUUUCCCUCGCCACUUUAAGUUAGUGAUUACACAAAGCGAAAUGUCUUUCUUUGAAACUCUCGAAAAGCUGUUAGGUACGAAAGAUUUGUACGAAGCACUAAGGCUAACUAAAUCAGCUUCUGAGUCGGAGAUAAAGCGAGCUUAUCGUAAAAAAUCGUUAGAAGUUCAUCCUGAUAGGGUUCCCGAAGCGGAGAAAGCGAGCGCCACCGAAAAAUUCCAAUGUUUGAGCAGAGUUUACACAGUUCUGUCUGAUCAAGACAAGAGGGCGUUGUACGAUGAAAGUGGGGAAGUUGACGACGAUGUUGUGGUCCAACAACGUGAUUGGGAUGCCUACUGGAGACUACUGUUUCAGAAAAUCACUAUGGAAGAUAUUGGAGAGUUUGAGAAAAAUUACAAAGGAUCAGAAGAGGAAGUGAACGAUCUCCGGUCGGCGUACUUGGAUUAUGAAGGUGAUAUGGACGCUAUCUUGGAAAAUGUGCUAUGCUCCACGAUCGGCGAUGGUGAAAGAUUCCGAAAAAUUAUUCAAGAUUUGAUUUCAAAGGAAGAUCUACCGACUUUCCCAGCUUUUGCAAAUGAGGAUAAAAAGAAGAAGAAAGCGCGCAAGCAAAAAGCUCAGAAAGAGGCAGCAGAAGCAGAGGAGAUGGCCAAAGAGCUUGGCUUAAAUGACAAAACUGAUGAUGGUCUGAGACAACUGGUUAUGAAACGGCAGAAAGACCGGCAAGGGGCCAUGGAUGACAUGAUAGCUGGGCUGGAAGCAAAAUACUGCAAACCAAAGAAACAGAAAACAUUUAAAGGAAAGAAAAAAUAGUUUUUUUACCUGAAUCCAAAUCUGUACUGGGAUGAAAAAUUUAUAUAUCCUGCAAACUCACUUCCAGGAGCAAAAAUGAAGCAAGUAGCAGUUAUCCUUCUGAUGUUGUGCAUCUUUGGGGCUGUAUGUAGAUGCAAUGGUAAAAAAGUCACAUAUGCAAGGAAUGACAUCAAAGUUGACCUCAUAAAGGUUGUAUCGUAGAGAGCGGGCUGACAAUAAAAAGCGAAGUUGCCAUGGACAGUCAUUGCGUGUGUGCGCGUAUGUUUUCUGCCCACAAGCAGGAAAAGAAAUAAGCAAAGUCGAAAUUGCCAUGGGAAGUGUGUGUGUGUGUGUUCGAAGACAUCUCUGUAGAACAUCGAUCAUGACCCUGAAAUGAGGAGGUUAUUAAGAAGAAUACGAUAUUUUAACAUGCAGCACAGGGGUAGUCAGGGCCGGUGGUCUUUGUAUCACUCGCUUUUUACAUGAUUCUUAGUUUUGUCUUAGAUGUACAAACAGAAUCCUCAAUUUUUUAUCAUAGGCCAACUGAUAAGCAAACAUCAGAAGAACAAAAAAUUUGAAAAAUGCUGUUU